CGGUAAUACGGAGGAUGCAAGCGUUAUCCGGAAUUAUUGGGCGUAAAGCGUCCGCAGGUGGCUAAUCAAGUCUGCUGUUAAAGACAGAAGCUCAACUUCUGAGCAGCGGUGGAAACUGGAGAGCUAGAGUACGGUAGGGGUUGAGGGAAUUCCCAGUGUAGCGGUGAAAUGCGUAGAUAUUGGGAAGAACACCAGUGGCGAAGGCGCUCAACUGGGCCGUAACUGACACUGAGGGACGAAAGCUAGGGGAGCGAAAGGGAUUAGAUACCCCUGUAGUCCUAGCUGUAAACGAUGAACACUAGGCGUUGCUUGUAUCGACCCGAGCAGUGCCGUAGCCAACGCGUUAAGUGUUCCGCCUGGGGAGUACGCACGCAAGUGUGAA
rnacentral:rRNA from 1 species